rnacentral:rRNA from 1 species
AGUGAACGCUGGCGGUAGGCCUAACACAUGCAAGUCGAACGGCAGCACAGUAAGAGCUUGCUCUUACGGGUGGCGAGUGGCGGACGGGUGAGGAAUACAUCGGAAUCUAUUUUUUCGUGGGGGAGAACGUAGGGAAACUUACGCUAAUACCGCAUCGGAACUACGGGUGAAAGCAGGGGAUCUUCGGACCUUGCGCGAUUGAAUGAGCCGAUGUCGGAUUAGCUAGUUGGCGGGGUAAAGGCCCACCAAGGCGACGAUCCGUAGCUGGUGUGAGAGUAUGAUCAGCCACACUGGAACUGAGACACGGUCCAGACUCCUACGGGAGGCAGCAGUGGGGAAUAUUGGACAAUGGGCGCAAGCCUGAUCCAGCCGUACCGCGUGGGUGAAGAAGGCCUUCGGGUUGUAAAGCCCUUUUGUUUGGAAAGAAAAGCAGCAGGUUAAUACCCCGCUGUUCUGACGGUACCCAAAGAAUAAGCACCGGCUAACUUCGUG